UCAGGGAUUGAGCGAGUAAACUACAUCUAACAAAGAAGCGAGAUUUUUUGUUGAGAUCUUUUUUGUUUUGUGUUUACCAAGUGGACAACAAAGGAGUUUUAUAGCAUAUAGAAUAUGCACUCUCCACAAGCCAAAUCACGGUAAUAAACUGCAGUUUUUACAAUAAACUAAUGCAGUGCACUUUUUAACAACAACAAAAUUGAGUAACAGGGCAUCCAAUAGAACUACAUCACUUCAUCCUUUGGGACCGCACGCGCAAGCCUGUGCGCCGUUGAACUCCACAAAUGCUUGUGAGCUGCACCCAAACCAGCAAAGAGCUGCAUGCAUUAACAUGGUCAAACUGAAACAUACAGCAAUAUGACUACAAAAAAAAGACAUAACAAGAUGAACUACUUAAAAAAAGUAUGACACCGGCCACCCCUAGUGCAGUGCACUUGUCCUCUGCUUCCCGCGAACAACAAGGAGUGGAGGAGGGAGCUACAAGUGAGGUUCGUCGCCCAGACGCCUGGCAAGCUGCACGGCACAAUCACCUGCACUGCAUGCCACGCUCGUCCACACUGCAUGUAGUGCUCGCCGAAAAGGGGUAACCCAUCAGUUGCUAGGACGGUAGGACCUGCAAGCACACACGCCGGCACCCGACAAACUGCAUGCCCUCUAGGGAGGGUGGAGAGGAGCAGGAAACAGGAUCCAUGCACGCAGCAGUGAGGCACCCACAAAACUACAGGAGAUUGGCUACCUGUCAACAGCGAGCAAAACAGUUAAACACCUUUGAUCCCCAAUACAUGCAGAAUUCACCACCAUGAGAACCAAAUUCAACAAGAAAGACGAACACGAGAUGCAAGAUGACCAAGAACCUACUCGAUUUUGCAGAAGAGAGGUGCUCGAGGGGGAUGCAGGAUCUCGCCAGAGGAAGGACGACAAGACACCGAACGACAAACACGCACGCCUACGAGCUGCAUGUCAUGCUUGCCCAGACAGCAAGCUGCUAUCGCCAGAACCUCGGCCCAAAUGGACCUCCUUCAUACCUGUCAGUCAUCUUUUCUACAUCAUCUAUCUUUUCUGCAAAAAAAGAGUAAAAUGAACCUCAAGAGCAAACAAUAGCGGACUACUCUGCACUUUUGACCUUUUUCUUAAAAAAAGCAACAAAGACAGUAGACUGCAGGUGCACACGGCAAAUCUCAUCCCCGCGGGGAUGCGCCAUGGAAGGAGAGCACCUUCAAUCCCCCACUCCUCGUCAGUAAGUCAAUGCAGUGCAGUAAAGAGACCUAGUGGCACGAGCGGGUGAGCAGGAGCAAGAGGGUGGGCCAGUGCAGCAGGUCACGACAUUGGGAGGUCACGCGGGUCGUGACGAACUGAGCAGGAAGUCAAGGAGCGUUGAGCUCAACUUCACGGCCUACACGGCUGCGGUCGCCGGACUGCACGGCUGUGGCCGUCGGACAAUAGGGAAGGCUGCAAAGCAAUGCACCCAGGCAGAGGGGGGUGAGGUCGGCCCUGACCUGCGGGACGACUCCGUCGACCUAGCUGGGAUGCGCCACACCAGCCGCUCCACGCAUUUGAGGCUGCCGCCAUGGGGACGAGGUGCCCGUAUGCUCACGCCGUAUAGGGAGGUCGAGGGAGCCUAGCCUACGGCUCCACCGGAUCCGGUG
rnacentral:lncRNA from 1 species